CCUUUGCGGUGCCUACCGUGCGCGUCGAGCGGAACGAGUUAUCUGAACCUUCGGGGAACGAUAACGGCGUCGAGCGGCGGACGGGUGAGUAAUGCCUAGGAAAUUGCCCUGAUGUGGGGGAUAACCAUUGGAAACGAUGGCUAAUACCGCAUAAUGCCUACGGGCCAAAGAGGGGGACCUUCGGGCCUCUCGCGUCAGGAUAUGCCUAGGUGGGAUUAGCUAGUUGGUGAGGUAAGGGCUCACCAAGGCGACGAUCCCUAGCUGGUCUGAGAGGAUGAUCAGCCACACUGGAACUGAGACACGGUCCAGACUCCUACGGGAGGCAGCAGUGGGGAAUAUUGCACAAUGGGCGCAAGCCUGAUGCAGCCAUGCCGCGUGUGUGAAGAAGGCCUUCGGGUUGUAAAGCACUUUCAGUCGUGAGGAAGGUAGUGUAGUUAAUAGCUGCAUUAUUUGACGUUAGCGACAGAAGAAGCACCGGCUAACUCCGUGCCAGCAGCCGCGGUAAUACGGAGGGUGCGAGCGUUAAUCGGAAUUACUGGGCGUAAAGCGCAUGCAGGUGGUUUGUUAAGUCAGAUGUGAAAGCCCGGGGCUCAACCUCGGAAUUGCAUUUGAAACUGGCAGACUAGAGUACUGUAGAGGGGGGUAGAAUUUCACGUGUAGCGGUGAAAUGCGUAGAGAUCUGAAGGAAUACCGGUGGCGAAGGCGGCCCCCUGGACAGAUACUGACACUCAGAUGCGAAAGCGUGGGGAGCAAACAGGAUUAGAUACCCUGGUAGUCCACGCCGUAAACGAUGUCUACUUGGAGGUUGUGCCUUGAGCCGUGCUUUCGGAGCUAACGCGUUAAGUAGACCGCCUGGGGAGUACGUCGCAGAUUAAAACUCAAAUGAAUUGACGGGGCCCGCACAAGCGGUGGAGCAUGUGUUUAUUCGAUGCACGCGAAGAACUUACUACUCUGACAUCAAGAACUUUCAGAGAUGAUGGUGCUUCGGGAACUUCUGAAAACAGUGCUGCAUGCUGU
rnacentral:rRNA from 1 species